CUUAUUGGUUCCAUGGAAGGGAUUGUAAAGAGCAGCCAGCGGAAGCUACAAAAGGUGCAAGUAGGGCUUCAGGAAGAGCAGAAGGCUUGCGAUGCUCUUAAGAAGAGGUAUGCUGCAGCAAUGGCAGAGCAAAGGCGCUGCUAUUCUCUGUUAAAAGAUUUUCAGGAGGAAUGCACAAAGAAUGACAGACUUCAGAGCCGAAGUUGUCUAAAACAACAUGGUUGCCUUGUGUGAAGACUAGUUAUUUAUGCAUCACUAAUGCAAUUAAUCCUGCAUAGCAGACCUGUUAAAUUGGGGAUUGGCAAUGGAAAUUAUGUUUGACUCAACAUUUUCUGCUGCUUUUGUUUUUGGCCUUUGUAACUUCUGUUUUCAUUUGUAAAAUUGUCUGGAC
rnacentral:misc_RNA from 1 species